rnacentral:rRNA from 1 species
GACGAACGCUGGCGGCGUGCCUAAUACAUGCAAGUCGAACGCAGUGGGGACGGGUGAGUAACACGUGGGUAACCUCCCAUCAGAGGGGAUAACACUUGGAAACAGGUGCUAAACUGAUACUGAUGGAUGGACCCGCGGUGCAGUAGCUAGUUGGUGAGGUAACGGCUCACAAAGGCCAGGAUGCAUAGCGGACCUGAGAGGGUGAUCGGCCACACGGGGACUGAGAAACGGCCCAGACUCCUACGGAAGGCAGCGGUGGGGAAUCUUCGGCAAUGGACGAAAGUCUGACCGAGCAACGCCGCUUGGGUGAAGAAGGUUUUCGGAUCGUAAACCUCUGUUGUUGGGGAGGCGGUAUCUAACCAGAAAGCCACGGCUAACUACGUGCCAGCAGCCGCGGUAAUUC